rnacentral:misc_RNA from 1 species
AACGCACAUUGCGCCCCUCGGUAUUCCGUGGGGCAUGCCUGUUCGAGCGUCAUUUACACCCUCAAGCUCUGCUUGGUGUUGGGCGUCUGUCCCGCGUUACCGCGUGGACUCGCCCCAAAGUCAUUGGCAGCAGCCUUGCCAGCCCCUCGCGCAGCAAAUUGCGUCUUGGUGGUCGGCGGCGCGGCGUCCAUGAAGCUAUUUUACUUGACUUGACCUCGGAUCAGGUAGGGAUACCCGCUGAACUUAA